AUUGAACGCUGGCGGCGUGCUUAACACAUGCAAGUCGAUCGGUAACGCGGGGGCAACCCUGGCGACGAGAGGCGGACGGGUGAGGAACGCUUGGGAAUCUGCCUAUCAGCGGGGGACAACCCGGGGAAACUCGGGCUAAUACCGCAUACGCUCUACGGAGGAAAGCCGGGGACCGCAAGGCCUGGCACUGAUAGAUGAGCCCAAGUCGGAUUAGCUAGUUGGCGGGGUAACGGCCCACCAAGGCGACGAUCCGGAGCUGGUCUGAGAGGACGAUCAGCCACACUGGGACUGAGCCAUGGCCCAGACUCCUACGGGAGGCAGCAGUGGGGAAUAUUGGACAAUGGGGGAAACCCUGAUCCAGCGACGCCGCGUGGGUGAAGAAGGCCUGCGGGUUGUAAAGCCCUUUCGGUAGGGACGAAAGCUCUCGACCUAACACGUCGGGAGGUUGACUUAACCUACAAAAGAAGCACCGGCUAACUCUGUGCCAGCCGCCGCCGUAA
rnacentral:rRNA from 1 species